rnacentral:rRNA from 1 species
AUUUGCUGGAAUGCUUUAUGCGUCAAAAGGAUUCGUCUGCCCAAGGAUGGGUCUGCGGCCUAUCAGGUAGUAGUGGGUGUAAUGUACCUACUAGCCAGCGACGGGUACGGGUUGUGAGAGCAAGAGCCCGGAGAUGGAUUCUGAGACAUGAAUCCAGGCCCUACGGGGCGCAGCAGGCGCGAAAACUUUACAAUGCGGGAAACCGUGAUAAGGGGACACCGAGUGCCAGCAUCAUAUGCUGGCUGUCCGGAUGUGUAAAAUACAUCCGUUAGCAAGGGCCGGGCAAGACCGGUGCCAGCCGCCGCGGUAACACCGGCGGCCCGAGUGGUGAUCGUGAUUAUUGGGUCUAAAGGGUCCGUAGCCGGUUUGGUCAGUCCUCCGGGAAAUCUGAUAGCUCAACUAUUAGGCUUUCGGGGGAUACUGCCAGACUUGGAACCGGGAGAGGUAAGAGGUACUACAGGGGUAGGAGUGAAAUCUUGUAAUCCCUGUGGGACCACCUGUGGCGAAGGCGUCUUACCAGAACGGGUUCGACGGUGAGGGACGAAAGCUGGGGGCACGAACCGGAUUAGAUACCCGGGUAGUCCCAGCCGUAAACGAUGCUCGCUAGGUGUCAGGCAUGGCGCGACCGUGUCUGGUGCCGCAGGGAAGCCGUGAAGCGAGCCACCUGGGAAGUACGGCCGCAAGGCUGAAACUUAAAGGAAUUGGCGGGGGAGCACAACAACGGGUGGAGCCUGCGGUUUAAUUGGACUCAACGCCGGACAACUCACCGGGGGCGACAGCAAUAUGUAGGCCAAGCUGAAGACUUUGCCUGAAUCGCUGAGAGGAGGUGCAUGGCCGUCGCCAGUUCGUACUGUGAAGCAUCCUGUUAAGUCAGGCAACGAGCGAGACCCGUGCCCACUGUUACCAGCAUGUCCUCCGGGACGAUGGGUACUCUGUGGGGACCGCCG